AACGAACGCUGGCGGCAGGCUUAACACAUGCAAGUCGAACGCCCCGCAAGGGGAGUGGCAGACGGGUGAGUAACGCGUGGGAACAUACCCUUUCCUGCGGAAUAGCUCUGGGAAACUGGAAUUAAUACCGCAUACGCCUACGGGGGAAAGAUUUAUCGGGGAAGGAUUGGCCCGCGUUGGAUUAGCUAGUUGGUGGGGUAAAGGCCUACCAAGGCGACGAUCCAUAGCUGGUCUGAGAGGAUGAUCAGCCACAUUGGGACUGAGACACGGCCCAAACUCCUACGGGAGGCAGCAGUGGGGAAUAUUGGACAAUGGGCGCAAGCCUGAUCCAGCCAUGCCGCGUGAGUGAUGAAGGCCUUAGGGUUGUAAAGCUCUUUCACCGAUGAAGAUAAUGACGGUAGUCGGAGAAGAAGCCCCGGCUAACUUCGUGCCAGCCGCCGCGGUAAGAC
rnacentral:rRNA from 1 species